AGUGAACGCUGGCGGUAGGCCUAACACAUGCAAGUCGAACGGCAGCACAGUAAGAGCUUGCUCUUACGGGUGGCGAGUGGCGGACGGGUGAGGAAUACAUCGGAAUCUACUUUUUCGUGGGGGAUCACGUAGGGAAACUUACGCUAAUACCGCAUACGACCUACGGGCGAAAGCAGGGGAUCUUCGGACCUUGCGCGAUUGAAUGAGCCGAUGUCGGAUUAGCUAGUUGGCGGGGUAAAGGCCCACCAAGGCGACGAUCCGUAGCUGGUCUGAGAGGAUGAUCAGCCACACUGGAACUGAGACACGGUCCAGACUCCUACGGGAGGCAGCAGUGGGGAAUAUUGGACAAUGGGCGCAAGCCUGAUCCAGCCAUACCGCGUGGGUGAAGAAGGCCUUCGGGUUGUAAAGCCCUUUUGUUGGGAAAGAAAAGCAGCAGGUUAAUACCCCGCUGUUCUGACGGUACCCAAAGAAUAAGCACCGGCUAACUUCGUG
rnacentral:rRNA from 1 species